rnacentral:lncRNA from 1 species
UGCCCACCUCUCCGUAGUCCACCCAGCCGUCCUUCCGCGGCGCCCGGCGGCGAGCCCUUGGCCGCCCAUGAUGGGCUCUGUGCUCCCAGCUGAGGCCCUGGUGCUCAAAACAGGGCUGAAGGCUCCGGGGCUAGCGUUGGCAGAGGUCAUCACCUCCGACAUCCUGCACAGUUUCUUAUAUGGCCGAUGGCGCAACGUGCUAGGCGAACAGCUG